GACGAACGCUGGCGGCGUGCUUAACACAUGCAAGUCGAACGGAAAGGCCCUGCUUUUGUGGGGUGCUCGAGUGGCGAACGGGUGAGUAACACGUGAGUAACCUGCCCUUGACUUUGGGAUAACUUCAGGAAACUGGGGCUAAUACCGGAUAGGAGCUCCUGCUGCAUGGUGGGGGUUGGAAAGUUUCGGCGGUUGGGGAUGGACUCGCGGCUUAUCAGCUUGUUGGUGGGGUAGUGGCUUACCAAGGCUUUGACGGGUAGCCGGCCUGAGAGGGUGACCGGCCACAUUGGGGCUGCGAUACGGCCCAGACUCCUACGGGAGGCAGCAGUGGGGAAUAUUGCACAAUGGGCGGAAGCCUGAUGCAGCAACGCCGCGUGCGGGAUGACGGCCUUCGGGUUGUAAACCGCUUUCGCCUGUGACGAAGCGUGAGUGACGGUAAUGGGUAAAGAAGCACCGGCUAACUCCGUG
rnacentral:rRNA from 1 species